rnacentral:lncRNA from 1 species
AUUGUCAUGGAGAGGGAAUAGUACGCGCUGUAGGUAGGAUUUUCUGUCUUCAAUUCCCUAACAAUGCUGAGACAGAAAUCAAAGGAAGGAGUCAAACUUCAGCCAUGGCAUGCAACCAAAAUUUAUGAUGAUCAAGGCAUUCUCCGAUCAUCCCGUCAACACAAUUGAGCUGACUGUGAGGCGGUCUAGAGUAGGUUUGAACUUUAUACAGCAUCACAUCGGGACUUCAUUCAUGAAUUAAACCGCAGACACAGAAAUCGUAGCUCACAGGAGUACGUUACGACAUGCCAUGUGCACUACCAAACUGUACUUGUGUCGGAAGGAGAUAUUUCUUGUAUGUCGCUGGCAGAGUGUCUGGUGACGAUCAUGGUUCGUACAUGUAUAUAGUGCAAUCUUAGUCACCCGACUACAAGUGCUUUACACGACGGGAACCGAGAGGCGAGAUGAAGGAUUUGUAGGAACGUUUGGCGUAAGCAAAGAAAAGGAAGCCAUGAACAUAGCAUAGAGCAAAGGCAUCCGUGCUCCUGGUGCCUGUGGUCCACCAUAAUUUACUUGCGAAGCGCUUGUAAUUUCCAACAGAUCGAGGAAAUUCGU